GACGAAUGCUGGCGGCGUGCUUAACACAUGCAAGUCGAACGGAAAGGCCCUGCUUUUGUGGGGUGCUCGAGUGGCGAACGGGUGAGUAACACGUGAGUAACCUGCCCUUGACUUUGGGAUAACUUCAGGAAACUGGGGCUAAUACCGGAUAGGAGCUCCUGCUGCAUGGUGGGGGUUGGAAAGUUUCGGCGGUUGGGGAUGGACUCGCGGCUUAUCAGCUUGUUGGUGGGGUAGUGGCUUACCAAGGCUUUGACGGGUAGCCGGCCUGGGAGGGAGACCGGCCACAUGGGGCUACGGGACGGACCCGUACGCAAUCGGGGGGAAGGGGUGGGAGAUUUGACCAAAAGGGCGGAGUGAUUGAGGAAGAACCCCGGGUCGGGAAAGUCGGUCUUUGGGGUAGAAACCAUUUUCGCCUAUGACGGAGCGUGAUGACGGGAAAUGGGGAAAAAACCACGGCCAAACUAGUG
rnacentral:rRNA from 1 species